GAUGAACGCUGGCGGCGUGCCUAAUACAUGCAAGUCGAGCGAACGGACGAGAAGCUUGCUUCUCUGAUGUUAGCGGCGGACGGGUGAGUAACACGUGGAUAACCUACAUAUAAGACUGGGAUAAAUUCGGGAAACCGGAGCUAAUACCGGAUAAUAUUUUGAACCGCAUGGUUCAAAAGUGAAAGACGGUCUUGCUGCCACUUAUAGAUGGAUCCGCGCUGCAUUAGCUAGUUGGUAAGGUAACGGCUUACCAAGGCGACGAUGCAUAGCCGACCUGAGAGGGUGAUCGGCCACACUGGAACUGAGACACGGUCCAGACUCCUACGGGAGGCAGCAGUAGGGAAUCUUCCGCAAUGGGCGAAAGCCUGACGGAGCAACGCCGCGUGAGUGAUGAAGGUCUUCGGAUCGUAAAACUCUGUUAUUAGGGAAGAACAUAUGUGUAAGUAACUGUGCACAUCUUGACGGUAUCUAAUCAGAAAGCCACGGCUAACUACGUG
rnacentral:rRNA from 1 species